rnacentral:snRNA from 1 species
GGAUGUGAGGGCGAUCUGGCUGCGACAUCUGUCACCCCAUUGAUCGCCAGGGUUGAUUCGGCUGAUCUGGCUGACUAGGCGGGUGUCCCCUUCCUCCCUCACCGCUCCAUGUGCGUCCCUCCCGAAGCUGCGCGCUCGGUCGAAGAGGACGACCUUAUCCGAGGAGGACCGUUCUUCGGUCAAGGGUAUACGAGUAGCUUCGCUCCCCUGCUAGAACCUCCAAACAAGCUCUCAAGGUAGAACUCAGGAAGUAUUUAACAAUAAAGAUGUCUUCUAUUUCCACUUAGUUUUUCAUUUUUAAAACAAAUAAAU